GCGGACCUUGGAGGCCGGGUGCAGCCCCGUCGGCUCCGCGCUCUCGGCAGAAAAGGCUUUUAUACGCCCCCUGCCCAUCACUUGGAUCUGAUCUGAGUAAGGGGGGGAUUUUUUUCUGGAAGUACCCCCCCACCCACGGUGAAGGAUUUGAGGCUGGACUCCAAUCGAGGAGGAGGCUGGGCGCCCCCCACCCCGCGCACGCCUCCCGAGAGCCCUGGAAGGCGCAGCCCCGGGGGGCCCCCUGCACCCCCAGAGGAGGCAGCGGCGUGAUAACCACCAGGCUCCCCGACCCAAGCUCUCGCCCUUCACUUGUUCAUACAGCCCUGGAAACAGCUGCUUGCUUUACAGGUAUUUUCAUCCGGGUUUCCAAGUUGAUAACGUUCCCACAUUCCAGAGGAAGGAGGGAUUGAAGGGUCUGUGAUUCCCUUGGGUUACUAAUGAGGGUUUGGAAUAAUCAUUCGGGGUCUUGGGGAGAUGGCACUGGCUCUUGAGAGUCACCUGGCCUUAGGGACUCAUCCUCACCACCUGCUCUGGGUUCCAGAUCCUGGUUUUUCUGGGCACAGAGGAGGCGCAUCUAUAUUGAAGCCACUGUGUGGAGACACAUUUAGCCAAUUAUCAGCCUUUCGGGAGCCUGGGUGGAGCCACCGCCUGUGCACCAGGAAAGCGUCGGCUUGUUUAAAGUUUGCUCUAACUUUGUACAUUUUUUCCUUUUUAGUUUUGGCUCUUGGAGUUCCGAGAGCCACCACUUCCUGCCCAGCUGGUUCAUUACCGCAGGGAAAAUGAGGGACUUUUGGGGGCAGAUGUGUUUCCAUUCCGCUAUCAUAAUGCCCCUAAAAAUCCUUAUUGCUCUUGCAGUAUUCCUCGGGGGUCCCUGGGCCAGCUGUGGCAGCUGAGUUUCUCCAGCAACUAAAAGAAGAGACAAAGAUGUUCCCCCAAACCUCCCCUUCUGGUCCCUGGUAGAGCUCCCCUCCACAGUGCUCAGAACUGGUGCACCAUGAAAAAUGAAAAGAUGCCAUCCGCAGACACCAGUUCCUAAACGUGCUCUUUGCCCUCCAGGGGCCGAAUGUUGGAGCUCAGGCUUGGGAAACAGGGCAGCUGAGGCUGCUGUCAGCGUUUGCUCUGGGGGUUCAUGGUGGGGGAGGUGGGGAAAGUGGGGAAGAAACAAGUGUUACCUGUUUGACAAGGCGAUUCACAUUCAGCCUGGGCCUUCCGGCAGGGCCUCUGGGAUCCUCACCUCGGCAGGGGCUCUGGACAGUCCUGAUUGGCUCACCAGCUCCCUGAGUCAGACCACUUCCCCACCCUCUGCCUCGGUUUCCUUCUCUGGCAAGGGAGGGGCAACACCCCAUGCUCUGUUCUGAAAGGGUUCUCACCUGUAUCUAGAGUGUUACCAUGAGUUCAAGUGACAGACAAGCUCAGAAGGUGCUUUGAAAGUGGUGACGCCAAAGCAUGAAACAUGGAAGCUGUCAGUGCUGAUACUUACUAAUACACGCUUCAUAUGCUAAGACAGCUCGGACAGGAGCAGAGACUACAGCCCAGCAGUAAGCACAGGUUUCUAGAAUCAUGGAAUCGGGCAGCCCCAGCCCUGCGACUCUUUCUCAGUGUCACCCCCAGGCAAGUGACUCAACCUCUCUGGGCCUCCAUUUCCUCACGUAGGAAACCUAUGUUUUGGAAUAGAAGUUUCCCAAGUCUGAUAUGCACAUGAUUUUAAGUGGUACCUGGCUAGAGACGUAAAUUAUUCUAACAGGUAUUUCUCUGUACAGCAGAUUUCUACUUACGGCAAGCAGUUGGCUUUCAGUUUAGGGUAGGGGUAGAAGGGCUCUUUUUUACAUCAAUUUAUGCAAGAUAAAGAGGGUGAGUUGCUUGAAAGAAAAAUAUUAAGCAAAGGAGAGUACGGGUGGCCUGAGGAUGGGGCAGAACUCAAGAUGAUACUUUCUAAAGUGUCAAAGUCUACCUCUUUUUUUUUUUUUUUGUCCGCGUGGCAUGGCUUUUGGGAUCUUAGUUCCCCGACCAGGGAUUGAACCCAGCCCUCGGCAGUGAGACGUGGAGUCCUAACCACUGGAUAGCCAGGGAAUUCCCCAUAGUCCACCUCUUAAGAAUUCUUGUUUGUCUUAGGGAUUUUCUGCACCCAUGGAGGUGGUGUGGGGAGGGGUAGGUUGCCAAUUCCAAUCUGCAGGGGGCUCGACCUGUGAUAACCUGGGGGUCACGUGUCUUCUCCCCCCACAAACUCCUGCCCUGCUCGCCAACACCAGUGAGACCCCUUGGAUCUCUGCCCCUAUGCCCACCCAUAGCUCUGAUUUGUCUUUUAUUUUAAGAUCUUGCUGCCCCAGCACCCUCCUUCCUGGCCGAGGCACCUCUUUGAGCCUCAGUUUUCUCAGUGAAAUGGGGAGAAUAAUUAACCCCCUGUCUCAGAGCAGUGUGACGAUCAGGGGUUAAUGGGACUCAAUUGAGCAGCUAUGAUGGUUCACACACAGGGCACGGCUCAGAAG